rnacentral:lncRNA from 1 species
CAAGGAGAAUCUUCUACCCACAAAGAGGAAAGUGGUAACGUCCUUCACUUCCUUUGUGGUUUUAAUCUAAACCACAACUCCUCCCUUCUGUUUAAUCAGACAUGAAACAAAUCGCGUGCUGUGGCAGAGGCGUACAAACACGCUUUAAUUACAAUAUUGUAACACCAAUUAGAGAUCUAUCUAAUCGAGGACUCGGCACUUCCUGCUCGGAUAUUACUCCCAUGUUGGGAUAAUUACUGCUAAUUAAGCUUGGAACUAAUUAGGCUAAAUGAUCUCAUUUAUACCAACAAAGAUGACUUCUAGGAGUUC